rnacentral:lncRNA from 1 species
CCCAGAAGCAGGGCCUGGUAUGCAGCCUGCCUAACAAGGGAGAAUUUAUAGGCUCUGUGGACGGAAAGAUCUGGGAGUCCAUAUCUAUCACCCACUAGCUUGCUGAGACAUUAGUAAAGUCAGUUUUCUGAACUACAUUUCUGUCAUCUGUAAAUUGAGAGGAAUUUCUUCUACCCCACGAGGCUUCUUGGAUAAUUAGUGACAGUGUGUGUAGAGCAGGUGCCAUCCAGCCGGCAUUUGGUGUCCAGACCACUCCUCUUCCCCCUUGAUUUUCUGCCUAAAUUUGCAUUUUGUUCUUAAGAUUUUCACUCCCCUUAAUUCUGCUCUUCCCUCUGAUUUCUGCCUUACUGUAUAUCCCAUGGAGUCACCAGGAUCAAAGUGGGUAACCGUCAUGUAUGCAUGUAUGUGUGUGUACAUAUACACAUUGUUGGGGUUGGAGUGUGGUGUGUGGGUAAGUGUGAGUUGGAAUCACUGACUGAAACUCUCCACACCAGGCUGUGUUCCUGCUCACUGCUGGAGGCGCUGUCAGGGGCCCUGUCCUCAACCCCGGGUCUGACCCUUGCAGAUCAGGCAGGACAUUCUGGAGGAAUCAUGCCCUUGGAAGGAUCCCUGAGGAGUGACUGUUGUUAGAUUAAAAAACAGUGGCAAAGAGCAAUACAGAGAGUUGCCAAAAUUCACACCGCUGGUCCAGGUUUGAAGCAAGCAAUCUGUACCUGCAGUCCUUGUCUGUAACCAUGGCACCCUGGCUUCUCACACAUCUCAUCGUGGAGUUCCACCAUGUGUCAGGCAUGGCACUGAGCACCUUCUUUUAAGAAUAUAAUUUGUAAUUAUGUAGAUUAUUAAUUCUACUUCAAAAUGCCACACAGCCUUCAUGUGAUAAAAUGAAACAAUUGCUCAACUGAUCUCCUGGGAUCUCUACUAAGAUGUUGGCAGCCCGGCCAGCUGGUCUGGCCCUGGACGUGCCUUCAGGGUCUGGUUAUGCUUCAUGACCUGCAUUGUGGUCAGUGCCAUUUUGCAGACUUUGAUCACAGUGAAACGUUCCAUGGGAACUUGGGCCAUGAGAAACAUCCUUCCUAACCACGUGACUGCAGAAACAUCCUUAUCACAUCCUCCUGGGCAAAGGCCCAACAGCCUGACUGCAGGGACAUCCUUGCCAUAUCCUGCUGGGCAGCAAGCUCUACCACCCAGAUCCCUCCCUCCCAGUCCCAUGAUUACCCCAGCCUGUGAGUGGCAGUUGGUUCUGGCACUAAGCUGGUUUCCUCCUCCCCAGGGUUUUGCUGGCAAUAAAGAUGUUGCUGUUGAAG